AGUUCUCAGUGCAUUUCAAAAACCAGUUUUGCAUGAGUUACAUUAUUCCAUUUUUUAGGUUCCUUUUGAUGCUGCUUUCUCAUUUUAAGAAGAUUGAUUAAAAUUCUGCCUGCUUCUGGUCUGAGUCCCUUUUUUUACCAAGAUAUAAAAGCUGUGAAGUUAUUUUUUUCCAGGCAAGCGACAGCCUCCAGUUCCACCUGCAAGGAACCACACUCAGA
rnacentral:lncRNA from 1 species